AAAACCAAGGGUUGGAGUGUGUAUGAUGUCUUAUCAGUCAAGACCAGCCAAGCCUCACUGAUAGGCUUCUCCAGGGCAGUGUGUAUAAAGCACAGCACUCGCCAGCAAUGGGGAGAUGGUAGCCAUGCUCACUGUCCUCUCCAGCCCUACGACAGAGGACUCUGGCCUGGAGAGCGAGGGAAGGAGAGGAAAACAUAAGAGGGAAAAUGAAGGAGCCGUGAAUCACCACAAGCCAUAUUUAAAAGGCAUGGAAGAGAAAGAUGCAAACCUGAUUCUGGAAGGAGUGAGGCCGCCUGCCAUGUCCGGGGCAUCCUACUAGGGAUGCAAACAGCAACAAGCAACAAGCCCAGGCUGUGAGCGGUUUGCCUGAGCUAGAAGCAGGAUUUGAACUGAGUUCCCUCUGAAUCCAUUAAAGAGACACUUGAAGCACAUGUGGAAGUGUUAGGAGAAUGUGGUCCAGCCGUGCACAGAAAUCUGGGGCAGAAGAAGAAAAUGAAAG